GACGAACGCUGGCGGCGUGCCUAAUACAUGCAAGUUGAGCGAUGAAGAUUGGUGCUUGCCCCAAUUUGAAGAGCAGCGAACGGGUGAGUAACGCGUGGGGAAUCUGCCUUUGAGCGGGGGACAACAUUUGGAAACGAAUGCUAAUACCGCAUAACAACUUUAAACAUAAGUUUUAAGUUUGAAAGAUGCAAUUGCAUCACUCAAAGAUGAUCCCGCGUUGUAUUAGCUAGUUGGUGAGGUAAAGGCUCACCAAGGCGAUGAUACAUAGCCGACCUGAGAGGGUGAUCGGCCACAUUGGGACUGAGACAUGGCCCAAACUCCUACGGGAGGCAGCAGUAGGGAAUCUUCGGCAAUGGACGAAAGUCUGACCGAGCAACGCCGCGUGAGUGAAGAAGGUUUUCGGAUCGUAAAACUCGGUUGGUAGAGAAGAACGUUGGUGAGAGUGGAAAGCUCAUCAAGUGACGGUAACUACCCAGAAAGGGACGGCUAACUACGUG
rnacentral:rRNA from 1 species